GACAGAGGAUGCAAGCGUUAUCCGGAAUGAUUGGGCGUAAAGCGUCUGUAGGUGGCUUUUUUAAGUCCGCCGUCAAAUCCCAGGGCUCAACCCUGGACAGGCGGUGGAAACUACCAAGCUGGAGUACGGUAGGGGCAGAGGGAAUUUCCGGUGGAGCGGUGAAAUGCGUAGAGAUCGGAAGGAACGCCGGUGGCGAAAGCGCACGACUGGACCUCUUCUGACGCUGAGGCGCGAAAGCCAGGGGAGCAAACGGG
rnacentral:rRNA from 1 species